AGCCCGCUCAGAAACUCAAAUGAAUUGACGGGGCCCGCACAAGCGGUGGAGUAUGUGGUUUAAUUCGAUGCAACGCGAAGAACCUUACCUGGUCUUGACAUCCCGGAGACCCUUAGGAAACUAGGGGGUGCUUCCAUCUGGAAGAAUCUGGAGACAGGUGCUGCAUGGCUGUCGUCAGCUCGUGUCGUGAGAUGUUGGGUUAAGUCCCGCAACGAGCGCAACCCUUGCCUUUAGUUGCCAGCAGUUCGGCUGGGCACUCUAAAGGGACUGCCGGUGUUAAACCGGAGGAAGGUGGGGAUGACGUCAAGUCCUCAUGGCCUUUAUGACCAGGGCUACACACGUACUACAAUGGCCGAUACAAAGGGCAGCGACACUGCGAGGUGAAGCCAAUCCCGUAAAAUCGGUCUCAGUCCGGAUUGGAGUCUGCAACUCGACUCCAUGAAGUUGGAAUCGCUAGUAAUCGUGGAUCAGCAUGCCACGGUGAAUACGUUCCCGGGCCUU
rnacentral:rRNA from 1 species